AAUUAUAAUUUAUCUUAAUUAAUAUAUUAUAUUUAAACAUUUUAUUAAAUUUAACAGAAUAUGUAUAAUAACCCUUAUUAUAUAUAUUAAACUAGAUUAUUUCCGCAUUAUUUAUUCCAGCUAAUGUUUUUAUCCCACAUUUACUUUCUAUUACAACCGUGUCGCAAAACCUUAUAAUUAAAACCGAUACAAUAUUUGCUAAAUGCAAAAAUUGCAGGGCCUUUUCUUUUCUUAGCCUAUUUUUUAUAUUGUCGAGCAAAAUAUAAUAUUUCUCAAUUCUAUUUUACUUUUCCCCUUUUAUUAAAUGGGGUAAUAAUAAUAUAAAAUAUAUUAGUCCCGUUUCAAAUAUUUCGUAACUAUUAUUAAAUUAAUUCCCGCACUGCAAAAAAACGUCGGCAUUUUUACUUUUAUUUUAUAUUAUUUAAUUGGUUUAAUUGAAAUAAUUGGUAUUAAAUCAAUAUUUUUUGUAAUUUAACGCCCACUGCGCAAAUUGCUUCCAAAAUAUAUUUCAAUUAUAGUUUUAAUACUGUUUCAAUAUACGCGGUAAAUAGCGUUUUAAUCGUUGUUUCACUUUGUAUCAUCGCGUUAUUAACGUUAAAUUUCUAAAUUACCAAAAUAAUUUAUAAUUUGUAUUUACUUUUAGAAACUCUUAACCGUUUCACUGUUUUUAAAAACAAUGGUUAAUUUUACGCGGUAGAAAAAUACGGAAUUUAUUUUUAUAAAAUUUUUAAUUACGAGUAUAUAAUAACGUUUUAUAUUAAAAACCGACGAAGUAUUUAUUAAAUGCAAAUAUUAUAGGACUUUUUAUUCUCUUGGUUUAUUUAUUAAAUUGUCAGGCGAAUUACAGCAAUUUUAGAAUUUAAUAAUAAACUUUUACCGUUAUAUUAUUUUCGAACGAUUAAUUUCAAAUUUGUUUCUAUUCUUAAUAAUAACCUUCGUAAAAUUUAAUAAGGGAUUUCCAAAAAAUGGUCUUUGACAAAAUAUAAAUUUGGCAAGUUGUUUUACACUUAUUUAGCUUUAUAUAUUACCAGAACCCAGCUUUAAAUAAUUAAAUAAUAGUUUUAAAUUCUCAUAUUUGAAAAACCGCUGUAUUUUAUCACCAAUUUUAAUCCCGUAUUUCUUAUAAUAUUAGUAACAUAUUUUCAAUUUUAAAUUAGAAAAUAUAAAUAUCACAAAUUGAAUAUCCAGGGCCGUUAACAUUAUAUUUAAUAACAAAUAUAAAUAUGUUUUAAUUAAAUUUAAU
rnacentral:sRNA from 1 species